rnacentral:rRNA from 1 species
AGUGAACGCUGGCGGUAGGCCUAACACAUGCAAGUCGAACGGCAGCACAGUAAGAGCUUGCUCUUACGGGUGGCGAGUGGCGGACGGGUGAGGAAUACAUCGGAAUCUACUUUUUCGUGGGGGAUAACGUAGGGAAACUUACGCUAAUACCGCAUACGACCUACGGGUGAAAGCAGGGGAUCUUCGGACCUUGCGCGAUUGAAUGAGCCGAUGUCGGAUUAGCUAGUUGGCGGGGGAAAGGCCCACCAAGGCGACGAUCCGUAGCUGGUCUGAGAGGAUGAUCAGCCACACUGGAACUGAGAAACGGUCCAGACUCCUACGGGAGGCAGCAGUGGGGAAUAUUGGACAAUGGGCGCAAACCUGAUCCAGCCAUACCGAGUGGGUGAAGAAGGCCUUCGGGUUGUAACGCCCUUUUGUUGGGAAAGAAAAGCAGCAGGUUAAUACCCCGCUGUUCUGACGGUACCCAAAGAAUAAGCACCGGCUAACUUCGUG